GUCAGCUGCUCAGGCGUCAUGGGAAGACUAGGAACUGUACAGAGCUCUUCCGAGGCUGGUCCUUUGGAGCUUUAAGAAGGAGAAAGCAGGUGGACUGGUAGCUGCUGCAAAGGUCCAGCAGAGAGCAAGCUGUGGGCCUCAAGCAAAGCUCAUCCUGGGAGAGGAAGUGGUCCUGAACCCAGGGCUAUGGUCUCAGGUGCUGGGGAUGCACUCCCUCAGAGCAGUGGCUGAGUCAGGAACAAGGAGGACAGAUGAGGAGAGCCCAAGCAGGACUGACAGCCCAGUGGCAUCUCCUGUCCUUGGAAGACCUGGUGGACGCUGAGGCAAGCUGCCCAUCCGUGCUUGGCGG
rnacentral:lncRNA from 1 species